UUCUACCGCUGCAGAAUGACUAUGCUGACUAUGCUGGCUCUACUGUGCUUUCUAAGUCACCAAAGGGCCUCACAAGCAUGUGUGAGCAGAACUGGGAGGAUGCCAGAAGAGGGAUGAAAUAAAAAUUGUGUAUGCAUAUCUUUCUUUUUGUGGAAUUCAACCUGGAGCCAUAGGAACGUGACUUACCACUCAUGGGAAAGGCUUGCCCAGAACCAAGAAGGAGCUGCAGGGACGUUUCUCCCAAGUCAUCCGUUCUCCCCGUUUCCACUUCAUCCUUAGGACGGACCUUCAGGCCCCCAGGCUGCCUACUGACCUCCCUGGCAUGGGUGGGAACCGGGAACUCAUUGGUAAGCAGGAGGAUUCAGGACUAUCAACUGAACCCCACCUCCUCUGUGGCACGCACCGUGCUGUGACUUUGGGGUCAUCAUCUCUCAUCACCUCUGCACAGGAAGAUUAUCUCCCCCACUUUGUAAUGAGGAAACAGAGGCUCCAGGAGGAAAGAUGCAACCUGGGCCAGACGUCCCUGGAGGCUGUGCCUGACCCCAGACAGCUCAGACAAACCUGAGCAGCCAUUAGCAGCUGUGUGGGCUCCUUUGCACUGUGGGGCUGCUCCUGGGGAUAUUUAUGUUGUGAACUGGUAGAAUCUGAACUGCAUAACAUAAAUUUCCAGACAUUCUUCUUAGAUGAUGCAGUCUGCCACAGAGACCAUGUAAAUGGAUUGAAUGGGGAUAUGAUGGGGAUGACCACCCCUGCAUUUGCUAAGUUCUUGAGAGUGGCAUCAAUCUCAGUCGUUCCACUGGAAUAGGGUCAGGAAAACAAAACAUGAGGGCUCUACCAGCGGCUAAGUCUAUCCUUUCCAAUUGAGCAUACCGGAACUGAGGAAGCAGUAACAGGGUGACUCCUAAGACCCUCAUCAUCACUGUUGAGCCUGCCUUGACAAGAACUCCACUUAUCACCUGCCUCCAUAUUUUCCCAUCCUAAUUAGCUGUCGUCAUGGAAUUUCAGGCUCUGCUAAUGUCAUUAGAAUGGACCUUAACUAGUGGGCUGGAGGCAAUGAGGGGAUGUGAGGAUGCAUCUUGUGAAGGACGAAAGUCAUCUUGUAAGUA